rnacentral:tRNA from 1 species
GGCGGAGUAGCUCAGCUGGUUAGAGCGCCGGAUUCAUAAGCCGGAAGUCGUGGGUUCGAGUCCCACCUCCGCUACCA